rnacentral:rRNA from 1 species
GACGAACGCUGGCGGCGUGCCUAAUACAUGCAAGUAUAACGUAGUUGCGAACGGGUGAGUAACGCUUAGGUAACUGCCUCAUAGCGGGGGAUAACUAUUGGAUACGAUAGCUAAUUCUUCAUACUGUGAGAUGGACCUGCGUUGUAUUAGCGAGUUGGUGUGGUAAAGGCUCACAAAGGCGACGAUACAUAGCCGACCUGAGAGGGUGCUCGCCCACCUGGGGACUGAAACACGGCCCAGACUCCUACGGUAGGCAGCAGUAGGGGAUCUUCGGCAAUGGACGGAAGUCUGACCGGGCAACGCCGCGUGAGUGAAGAAGGUUUUCGGUUCGUAAAGCUCUGUUGUUAGAGAAGAGGUAACUAACCAGAAAGGGACGGCUAACUCCGUGCCAGCAGCCGCGUAAUAC